ensembl:lncRNA
CUCAUGCCAGCAGCAUUGAACUGCUGAGUUUGAGAAGACUUGGGACCCAACAGAAUGACAUAGCCUGACAAUUAGGAAACCUAGUCAGUGUCUAGUACCAAAAGUGGUCCUAAGGUCCUUGGCAAGAGUCUGGUCAUCCUGUUACCAGCAUGCUGAUUUCUGAGGAAGGUCUUAGCCUCUUGCUUAAGUAAAUUUGAUUGCUGAGGAAAAGGUCCCAUGUCACUUGGAGGACCACCCCUGGCCAAGAGACAUAGCUGUGGUUGAAAGUGGAGGAUCUUGGUAUGUGGGUAUUUCCUUGUGUUUCCAGAACGUUUAACUUUCACAACAGGCAUGCAAAGUGGACAGUCCCAUCCUAUUGAAGAGGAAGCGUUGAGAGAGAUUAUGUCCAGUGUCAGCAGGAAGAAAAGACCUGGGAGGCCAGUGGUGUGGCAGGAAGUUGAACUCUUGCUCCUCUUGUCACCUAUCUUGGCCAGAGAGAACUAGCUUCAGUCUGAAAAGGGCAGGACUAACUGGGGUAGAGCUGAAGAUAAAAGACCUAUGAGGUAAUAAGAUCCUUCAAGUUCCUGGCCGGUUAACAGCAGUAAACACCAAUGGGUUCCCAGGAGUUGGUUGAGCUCUUGGUGGAAAGACUGAAGGGGAAAUGGAAGAAACACUAGAAGACUGAAAAGCAGAUAAAAGACCACAAAAAGGAGUUGUGAAUUACAAGUCACUGGGAAGUAUGACCUACAACAAAUAACUCAAAAAUUAAUGAAAACAGGCAACCAUCAAAUGUUACCUGGCAGAGUGACCCACAAUCCAAGCAGCCUGUGCUCACUGCCAGUUCUCUGCAUUUGCCAGGCAGAUGAGAAUGGAGCUGGAUAUUUCAAAGAAUUUAAGAAGAAAAAAAAAAAACAUGAAUGAGAACUGCAUCUUUAGAGCAUCUGAGCACAUCACAAGUGUUGAAUUGGCUUGGGACUGUAGUUCAGUGGUAGAACACUUGACUAGCAUGUGUGAGGCCCAAUACUGGGGGAACAGAUAUUAGAAUAUGGUU